UACAGAGGGUGCAAGCGUUGUUCGGAAUCAUUGGGCGUAAAGGGCGUGUAGGCGGUUUGUUAAGUCAUGUGUGAAAUCCCUCGGCUCAACCGGGGAACGACGCAUGAAACUGACAAGCUAGAGUACCAAAGAGGGGGGUGGAAUUCCCGGUGUAGCGGUGAAAUGCGCAGAUAUCAGGAGGAACACCAGUGGCGAAGGCGGUGCUCUGGGCCGGAACUGACGCUGAGGAGCGAAAGCGUGGGGAGCAAACAGG
rnacentral:rRNA from 1 species